UGUUAAAUAAUGAUGAAAGUGAAGUACAUGAAAUUGACAUGACUGGUAAGCUGACCUUUUUGGAGUUGACAAUUUUUGAAGAGUUUUCUGCCGUUUUUUAAAAAUAAGAAAAAUCUCAUUUUCUAAAAAUGUGUGGGGCAAAUGAUUAAUUUUAUUUCAUAUUUUCAUAGAGAGAAGUGUAUGUAACUUUCUCCCAAGAGAUUUGUAUGAAAAUACAAUUUCUUUUAAAAUAUAUUUUGAUUAAGCAAUGUUAAAUUCCAAGUGAAAUAAAUCAAGCAGUGAACAAAAUUUUGAAUAUUGCUGUGCUGAAUUAAUUUUAUUUGAUGAACCCUUCAAAAUGAUAUCAGGGUUGCAAAAAUCUUACCAUCCAUAUACUAGAUAUGGUCGUUAUACUUUGAAUACUUUAAUGAAAUAUUUGAUAUGAUUAAGGUGUAUUUGAAAAAUAGUUGAUUAUUCGAACUUAUUACCAAUGGUUACAUUUUUUAUAGAAAAUUUAAAUUAUAUAUGUAUAAGAAAUAUGUACUCUGAAUUUACAUGUAACAAAUGCUCCACUUGUCUUCCACUAGCUGCAAUAAUGAAGCCCUAUACGAUAUUUUUUAUUCUGACGUUUUCAGGAUAGGGCUAAAUUCUAUAGGAUCUACGUUAUGGUGCAAAAUAAUGUUAGGAAUAACCGAUAAUAAGCUCUGUGUAUUCGUCCCAAAUGUUGUUUAAAUCAAAAGCAGUACCAACUUUGUGCUUGGGCAUGUCUUACAAAAGGUGCUUUUCAUUAAACAUCAUGUACAGCAUGUAAAUUCUUCGUCUGCUCCGCCAUGCUUGUUAUCGCGAGAUCUCAUAGGUGGAAAUACUGAGAAACCUAAACAUUGACAAUCUGCGCGAAAAUGUAGUUACUCGAACCACUCCAACAAAGAAAGGAAAAGCAUAUGCUUUUAGUUAAGCUAUGCCGAAAUGUUGAAUGAUAUCGGCAUGCUUUUAGUUAAGCUAUGCCGAAAUGUUGAAUGAUAUUGGCAUGCUUUUCUCACCUCCGCACGUGGUAUACAGGUGUUUGUUUACAGUCCUAUGCAACAUUAACACUGUGUUUACAAACACGAAUUAGGGAGAUGGGUUUUACGUCAGUACAAUACAAAGUGUAGCCUUUGUAAAAAUAUUUUGAUCUACUGAUCUGAUCUUUAUUUCUAUAAAAACAACAACAACAAAAAAAAACCUGACAAUUUCUGUCGAUCAAAAUCGUAUCCAUGCCCCUUUCAGCCUUGAUAUUUGUACCGUGCAGUGCUUUUCCCUGGUUUUUUGUAUGCUAUUUGGAAAAACACCAGAAUUGCCUAGCUACAGGGCGCCGCCAUUGUGGACACCCAAAGUUGUGCGGAGAAGAAAAGUUGACAGGAGAUCUGAUUGGUCAUUAACAGAAAAUCUUUGUGAUGGAAUUUAAUAGUGAAAUAUAAGUGAUAAAAAUGACAGGUGACAUAACAGAAUAUGUAGAAAGAUACAGAAGUUAUAAGGGAAGAUCUGAGUGGAGAGGUGAUAUUUGGAUGGACAAUUUCAUUCAGUGCGGAUCUACACUAGUUGUUAACAGGCCAAAAUUUGAAGGAAAAACGCAACGGCAAGCCAUAUAUUUUUUGGUGGAAUUUUGAAGGGGAGAUGAUGAACUUUGCUGAAUGGUGACUGAUUUUUUGAAAAUUGGCUUAAUAAAUAAUUGACAGUGAUUGGAAUUUGUAUGGAAGUCUAUGGGAAAACAUUUGGUGGUGUUUGUCCUAUACUGAGGUAGCGAGAACCAGUUUAUGAGGGGUCUUGGCCGAAGCAGUCGGUGGCACCCAGGCCUGAGCAUCAUUUCCUGCUCCUCGCACAGAGAGGGUGGAUGCGUCACCAGUUGUAGGGUUUCCCUGUCAACUCUCGUGAAUGGUGCAGGAAAAACACCAGAAUUGCCUAGCUACAGGGCGCCGCCAUUGUGGACACCCAAAGUUGUGCGGAGAAGAAAAGUUGACAGGAGAUCUGAUUGGUCAUUAACAGAAAAUCUUUGUGAUGGAAUUUAAUAGUGAAAUAUAAGUGAUAAAAAUGACAGGUGACAUAACAGAAUAUGUAGAAAGAUACAGAAGUUAUAAGGGAAGAUCUGAGUGGAGAGGUGAUAUUUGGAUGGACAAUUUCAUUCAGUGCGGAUCUACACUAGUUGUUAACAGGCCAAAAUUUGAAGGAAAAACGCAACGGCAAGCCAUAUAUUUUUUGGUGGAAUUUUGAAGGGGAGAUGAUGAACUUUGCUGAAUGGUGACUGAUUUUUUGAAAAUUGGCUUAAUAAAUAAUUGACAGUGAUUGGAAUUUGUAUGGAAGUCUAUGGGAAAACAUUUGGUGGUGUUUGUCCUAUACUGAGGUAGCGAGAACCAGUUUAUGAGGGGUCUUGGCCGAAGCAGUCGGUGGCACCCAGGCCUGAGCAUCAUUUCCUGCUCCUCGCACAGAGAGGGUGGAUGCGUCACCAGUUGUAGGGUUUCCCUGUCAACUCUCGUGAAUGGUGCAGGAAAAACACCAGAAUUGCCUAGCUACAGGGCGCCGCCAUUGUGGACACCCAAAGUUGUGCGGAGAAGAAAAGUUGACAGGAGAUCUGAUUGGUCAUUAACAGAAAAUCUUUGUGAUGGAAUUUAAUAGUGAAAUAUAAGUGAUAAAAAUGACAGGUGACAUAACAGAAUAUGUAGAAAGAUACAGAAGUUAUAAGGGAAGAUCUGAGUGGAGAGGUGAUAUUUGGAUGGACAAUUUCAUUCAGUGCGGAUCUACACUAGUUGUUAACAGGCCAAAAUUUGAAGGAAAAACGCAACGGCAAGCCAUAUAUUUUUUGGUGGAAUUUUGAAGGGGAGAUGAUGAACUUUGCUGAAUGGUGACUGAUUUUUUGAAAAUUGGCUUAAUAAAUAAUUGACAGUGAUUGGAAUUUGUAUGGAAGUCUAUGGGAAAACAUUUGGUGGUGUUUGUCCAUUUAUAACAUUAUGUGUUGGUGCUAUUCAUAAUACAUACAUGCAGCGGGAAUUCAACAUGCCCCAAAUACUGUUGGUGUUCGUUAUCUUUGGAUUCGGGUACUUGUAUGCCAUUUCUACAUCAGACGUAGAAUGUCCGGUGAUUAGAUAUUGAAAUGCCAGUAUGACCGAUCAACAGACACACAGGAUAGCUACAACUCUCAAUGGGACAUGGACAAUGAUGGAAGACGUGUCUGGAAGGUUGUGUGAGUUACAAUGUAAUACUGGGUUUGUGUCGACAGGGUGUCACUUGUUACGACAGAAUGUUGGCUGGCGCUGGCUUUUGUCAACGUGGAACAAUUCCAUUCCGGAAUGUGAACCAGAGCCUGAGGAGUCCUGGCAUCCUUGGUUUCUUUUUUUCGGCAUUUGCGUCGCCUUAAUUCUCUUACUCGGUUUUGUAAUUCUGCCAGCAGUAAUAGCAUUUCUCGGAUUUGGUGCAGCGGGAAUAACAGCCUUUUCUUUUCUUGGGCUGCUUGGAUACAGACGCCCUUUACAGCUGCAGGGGGCCUAUUCGCAACUUUACAAAGUGCAGGGAUGGUUGGAUUUUCUGUCGAUACCAAACUCAUUGUAGGGACUGUUGGAGUCUUUUCCAUCUAUGCUAUGCGGAUGAUUAGUGUAUAUGGAGAUUGUAAAUAAUAUUUUAAAAUGAAAUCAAUAUUUUUUCUCAAGAACAGAUUUACGGCAAUAUGUUAUCAUUCGUAUACAUGUACAUGUAUUUUGUUUUCUCGCCCACUCACAACACACACACACACACACACACACACACACACACCACACACACACACACACACAGAGAGAGAGAGAGAGAGAAGCAUAGACUCACACACACGCACGCACGUACGUAGAACUUGAUUCAUUCAUUUCGUAUGAGUUUAAACACUGAAGCAUUACUGAUACUCAUACUUGUAUGAAUGCGUUCACUAUAUUACAGUUACUAACCAUGGCUAAUUAUUAUUAAUUUUUUUUUCAUUUUCUUCAGAAAACAUUUUAAAAAUUAAUUUGUAUCAAAUGUACGAAAACUUAGCAUAAUGUAUCCAGUGUAGAAGUGUUAGUUUGCAUAUUCUAUAAUGUGGCAUAUUAUAUUAUUAUAUGUAAUGAUAAACAAUCAUAAAUAAAGUUGGAAUGAAAAUUCACAA